UAUUGAAUGCGUUUGUUUUUACAUAUAUUUUAUGUAGUCAGUACAGUGCGAAUUAUGCAUGGGAUUCCAAAGUGGGAUAGUUUGGACGUUCAAGGGAAAAUAGAAACUUCAAAAAUUGUUGAUACGUAUCUACAGUGUGCCAGGUAUUGUCAACAGUCUGAUGUUUGCGAUGGUAUCUUCUUUAACAACACCACAGGAUAUUGUGCGAUUGUUGAAAAUAAUGAUGGAAAUGUCAUAAAGGAUAUCAUUUUAGGAGAAUUUUUUUACCGAAAGAAAAAUUGCCUUCAUUAUGGGUAGGAAAAUAUAUGGCAGUUGAAUACUUGCAUUAUGUUUUAUACUACAAAACUAACGUGGAAUGAUUCACAGCAAAGAUGCGUUGAAGACAAUGGAAAUCUAUUAUCUGUUGAAACUGCAAGAAAAGACUAUUUCUUUUUCCCAUUUUUAAUUGACAAAUAUGAAAAAACUGGAAUGGUGUUAUGGUGGAUAGGUGGGACGGAUGCAUCACAGGAAGGAAUCUUCCGUUGGAUAAAAAAUGGUGAAAAUGUUACAUACAGUAACUGGGACAUAGAUCAACCCGAUGAUGGAUCUGACGGUAUACCAGGGGCAGACUGUAUGAGAUACAUCAUUAAAUCAAAGACUAAAGCAACAUGGUGGGAUCGUGACUGUAACAAUGAAUUUGCGUUCAUUUGUGAAAACAAAAUGUUUUCGUUAUUAUAGAUGAGAGGUGAAACUGUUAUUUUAUCCAAUCAUCGAGUUAUAUUGAUGACUCAUAUGUACUUUUA